rnacentral:rRNA from 1 species
AGAGGAAGUAAAAGUCGUAACAAGGUCUCCGUUGGUGAACCAGCGGAGGGAUCAUUACAAGAAGCCGAAAGGCUACUUAAAACCAUCGCGAACUUAUCCAAGUUGCUUCGGCGGCGCGGCUCCCCUCACAGGGCGCCGCAGCCCCGCCUCUCAGGAGGUAUGGGGCGCCCGCCGGAGGUACGAAACUCUGUGUUAUAGUGGUAUCUCUGAGUAAAAAACAAAUAAGUUAAAACUUUCAACAACGGAUCUCUUGGUUCUGGCAUCGAUGAAGAACGCAGCGAAAUGCGAUAAGUAAUGUGAAUUGCAGAAUUCAGUGAAUCAUCGAAUCUUUGAACGCACAUUGCGCCCGCUAGUACUCUAGCGGGCAUGCCUGUUCGAGCGUCAUUUCAACCCUCAAGCUCUGCUUGGUGUUGGGGCCCUACGGCUGCCGUAGGCCCUGAAAGGAAGUGGCGGGCUCGCUACAACUCCGAGCGUAGUAAUUCAUUAUCUCGCUAGGGAGGUGCAGCGUGCUCCUGCCGUUAAAGACCCCAUCUUUAACCAAGGUUGACCUCGGAUCAGGUAGGAAUACCCGCUGAACUUAAGCAUAUCAAUA